rnacentral:rRNA from 10 species
UUGAGAAGCUCUCCAAACUCCCCCGGUUACAGGAAGGGGAGGUCGAAACACGGCUUUUGUAGGUUCACCUGCACCAGGGCCAU